rnacentral:tRNA from 1 species
UAUAGUCGACGUCGAUUCAGCAUUGUUAACGUCUCU